GAUAAAUUUGAUGUGUUCUUUUGAGCAUAUUUCUAAUUUACUGUGAACUGUUUUAAUGUUUAGCGUUUUGAGGGAUGCUUAUUGACUAUAGGGAUAGGUCAGUAGGAUGUUAACCUAGCUAAAGUCAGGCUUAGGCCUGGUAUCCCAAUUCAUUAUUUACCAAAAGAAUUCAGAAUUAAUUAUUGUAACAUAAGCGUAAAAAACUUAUAAAACAACUUUUAACAACGGAUCUCUUGGUUCUCGCAUCGAUGAAGAACGUAGCAAAGUGCGAUAACUAGUGUGAAUUGCAUAUUCAGUGAAUCAUCGAGUCUUUGAACGCAUCUUGCGCUCAAUGGUAUUCCAUUGAGCACGCCUGUUUCAGUAUCAACAACAACCCACAUCCACAAUUUUGCUGUGAAUGGAAUUGAGAAUUUUCGGAUUUAUUUUUAAGCUGAGUUCUUUAAAAUUAUUAGGCCUGAACUAUUGUUCUUUUAGCCUGAACAUUUUUUUAAUAUAAAGGAAUGCUCGAGUUAACAAGACUAUCUUGGGGGCCUCCCAAAUAAAUCUUCUUUUUUAAACUUGAUCUGAAAUCAGGUGGGAUUACCCGCUGAACUUAAGCAUAUCAU
rnacentral:rRNA from 1 species